rnacentral:rRNA from 1 species
AGAGUUUGAUCAUGGCUCAGAUUGAACGCUGGCGGCAGGCCUAACACAUGCAAGUCGAACGGUAACAGGAAACAGCUUGCUGUUUCGCUGACGAGUGGCGGACGGGUGAGUAAUGUCUGGGAAGCUGCCUGAUGGAGGGGGAUAACUACUGGAAACGGUAGCUAAUACCGCAUAAUGUCGCAAGACCAAAGAGGGGGACCUUCGGGCCUCUUGCCAUCGGAUGUGCCCAGAUGGGAUUAGCUAGUAGGUGGGGUAACGGCUCACCUAGGCGACGAUCCCUAGCUGGUCUGAGAGGAUGACCAGCCACACUGGAACUGAGACACGGUCCAGACUCCUACGGGAGGCAGCAGUGGGGAAUAUUGCACAAUGGGCGCAAGCCUGAUGCAGCCAUGCCGCGUGUAUGAAGAAGGCCUUCGGGUUGUAAAGUACUUUCAGCGGGGAGGAAGGGAGUAAAGUUAAUACCUUUGCUCAUUGACGUUACCCGCAGAAGAAGCACCGGCUAACUCCGUGCCAGCAGCCGCGGUAAUACGGAGGGUGCAAGCGUUAAUCGGAAUUACUGGGCGUAAAGCGCACGCAGGCGGUUUGUUAAGUCAGAUGUGAAAUCCCCGGGCUCAACCUGGGAACUGCAUCUGAUACUGGCAAGCUUGAGUCUCGUAGAGGGGGGUAGAAUUCCAGGUGUAGCGGUGAAAUGCGUAGAGAUCUGGAGGAAUACCGGUGGCGAAGGCGGCCCCCUGGACGAAGACUGACGCUCAGGUGCGAAAGCGUGGGGAGCAAACAGGAUUAGAUACCCUGGUAGUCCACGCCGUAAACGAUGUCGACUUGGAGGUUGUGCCCUUGAGGCGUGGCUUCCGGAGCUAACGCGUUAAGUCGACCGCCUGGGGAGUACGGCCGCAAGGUUAAAACUCAAAUGAAUUGACGGGGGCCCGCACAAGCGGUGGAGCAUGUGGUUUAAUUCGAUGCAACGCGAAGAACCUUACCUGGUCUUGACAUCCACAGAACUUUCCAGAGAUGGAUUGGUGCCUUCGGGAACUGUGAGACAGGUGCUGCAUGGCUGUCGUCAGCUCGUGUUGUGAAAUGUUGGGUUAAGUCCCGCAACGAGCGCAACCCUUAUCCUUUGUUGCCAGCGGUCCGGCCGGG